AUUGAACGCUGGCGGCAGGCCUAACACAUGCAAGUCGAGCGGAUGAAGCGCGCUUGCUCCUGGAUUCAGCGGCGGACGGGUGAGUAAUGCCUAGGAAUCUGCCUGGUUGUGGGGGAUAACGUCCGGAAACGGGCGCUAAUACCGCAUACGUCCUGAGGGAGAAAGUGGGGGAUCUUCGGACCUUACGCUAUCAGAUGAGCCUAGGUCGGAUUAGCUAGUUGGUGGGGUAAAGGCCUACCAAGGCGACGAUCCGUAACUGGUCUGAGAGGAUGAUCAGUCACGCUGGAGCUGAGACACGGACCGGACUCCUACGAGGGGCAGCAGUGGGGAAUGUUGGACAAGGGGCGAAAGCCUGAUCCAGCCAUGCCGCGUGAGUGAAGAAGGUCUUCGGAUUGUAAAGCACUUUAAGGUGGGAGGAAGGGCAGUAAGUUAAUACCUUGCUGUUUUGACGUUACCGACAGAAUAGGCACCGGCUAACUUCGU
rnacentral:rRNA from 1 species